rnacentral:rRNA from 1 species
UACGGAGGAUGCAAGCGUUUAUCCGGAAUUAUUGGGCGUAAAGCGUCCGCAGGUGGUUUUUACAAGUCUGCUGUCAAAGCGUGGAGCUUAACUCCAUAAAAGGCAGUGGAAACUGUGAGACUAGAGUUCGGUAGGGGUUCGGGAAUUCCCAGUGUAGCGGUGAAAUGCGUAGAUAUUGGGAAGAACACCAGCGGCGAAAGCGCGUAACUGGGCCUGAACUGACACUGAGGGACGAAAGCUAGGGGAGCGAAUGGG